rnacentral:rRNA from 1 species
UGCGUAGGCGGUUAUUCAAGUCAGAGGUGAAAGCCCGGGGCUCAACCCCGGAACUGCCUUUGAAACUAGAUAGCUAGAAUCUUGGAGAGGUCAGUGGAAUUCCGAGUGUAGAGGUGAAAUUCGUAGAUAUUCGGAAGAACACCAGUGGCGAAGGCGACUGACUGGACAAGCAUUGACGCUGAGGCACGAAAGCGUGGGGAGCAAACAGGAUUAGAUACCCUGGUAGUCC